ensembl:lncRNA
UCGUUGGCAGCAGUUACUGAACCAGUCAAUGGGACCAGUUAUACUGGGCCCAUUAAUUGGGAUCAAUUAUUGGACCAGUUGUUGCAUAAGCGUAGCUGCGGUGAAGAUUAUCUCAGAAUAGAAGGACUUAGAGGCUCAGACUCUGAGCUUCAGCUGAACUACAAAACACCUCAGUGUGUUUUUCUGUUCUUCAGCAUCUUUAUUUCCUCUUUGAAACCAAUAUUCCAAAAUGUUGUGGUUUAUCAUUGUCUCACAAUUAAUAAGACCAGUCCACUGUGGACAGACCCAGUCCGCUGUGGACAGACCCAGAUCCUCCACAGAGACCAGUCCGCUGUGGACAGACCCAGAUCCUCCACAGAGACCAGUCCNNNNNNNNNNACUGUGGACAGACCCAGUUCAGGCUUCCCUGCGGACUUGGACUUGCAGCUCCAGGGGGAGGGAGGGGGGUGGCAGCAGCAGCAGUGUCUCUUCCUCCUCCUCCUCCUCCUCCUCCAGGAGCAGGGAACCCUGGUGAUGAGACACUACCACUUUAGUCCACAGGGGGGUCAGAACCACCAGCCCAUGUGUCGGCGUGCCGGAUGCGUGAUGCUUUCAUGAGGCCGUAAACGUGGAGUUUGGACCGUUAAUGAAAAGUCUGUAAAUCUUUUCAUGCUCAAGUUCAACAUCUGGAGCCAAAACAGAAAGAACUCAGCAGCUGUUAUUUACUUGUCAGGUUUAAGCAUCUGAAGCUCGUUGAUGCUUUUAGAGAGACAUCAAUCAGGGUUUGUGGAGAUUUGGUUUUCGAAAACUGAAGCAUCAUGAAAUUGUUACCCAGAAUUCCUAAAUUGUUUAAUCUAUUUGCUAAAUUGUUUUGGUAAUACAUCCCUAAGUUAAAUGAUUCAAGAACUGUACAAACUAAACAAUCCAAUUAUUAAUGAAUUAUGUAUUUUUUUUAUUGAAAUAAGAAUACUUUAAAACCCUGAUCCAAAAUGACAUCAACGAAUAAUACAAUGUAAUAAUUCAACCUUGGAGCUCUAAGACCCACAAACGUCUCGUUAGGGACGCAGGGGACAAAGGCGUUAACCUGAAAAGCUUUAAAAAGAACAAAUCAUUGUGGAGAUCUGCUGGUUCACUUUUCGACUUAAUCUUGGAGCUAAAAAUAACUCAUUAUUUUAAAAAACUCACAAAAUAGAGAAACUUAAGAAAACAGGAAGUUACUUUAACAGCAGACUAAACUGAACUCCAGUUUAUUACUUUAAUAAAGCAAUAAGCUACGAGAGGCUUCGCGUCGGGCCUAACAUCACCCCGGAUUAUUGCAGAUAAAGUACCGCCUCAAGCACCUUAUUGCUUUUAUUAUACGGUUACCAGAAAAAUGAUUAAUAGUAAGUAAAUCGCUGCCUUUCAACACAAAAUAGUUGUAGCCACCAAACGUUGUGUAUCGGUAGUGUAGAGAAAAAAUAUUCCCCCGCGCCGUCUCACCCAUUCACAUCGCUCAUGACGUCCACCUUAAAUCGGUGUCGACGGGAACCCCAACGUUGGAGGUUCGAGCCCCGGCUGCCCCGUGUCGAAGUGUCCCUGAGCAAGGCACCUGACCCCUAGUUGCUCCCCGGGCAAACAUGUGAAAAGCCACGGGGUUAAAAAUGUAACGUAAGUCGCUUUGGACAAACGCGUCAGCUAAAUGACCUGUAAUGUAAUAAUCAUUCUAACCUGUUACUUUGAGUCCCCAGUGAUACGGAACAGCUGUGGUCGCUCAGUAAUCGCCCCCCCCAUCACUCCCAUGUCAUUUGUAUGAACAAAUCCAGAAAAUCACAUUGUAUGGUUUUGCAUUCGAUCACCAACCAGUAAGAAUUACGGCUCUCACAGGCCUGGUAGUCUGUCUGAAGCCCUCCGGUUCUCCACUCAUUACCUGUAUAAAAGACACCUGUCCACAAACUCAAACGGUCUCCAACCUCUCCACAAUGGCCAAGACCAGAGAGGCGUGUAAGGACAUCAGAGGUAGAAUUGUAGACCUGCACAAGGCCGGGACGGGCUGCAGGACAACAGGCAAGCAGCUUGCUGAGGAGGGAACUGUUUAAGUUUAAGAUGACGGUCAAUCCCCCUCGUUCUGGGGCUCAAUGCAAGAUCUCACCUUGUGGGGCAUCAAUGAUCAUGAGGAUGGUGAGGGCCGACUGCGCCCUAUUGAGGGGAGGAUGGUUGAGGCCAUCAACCUCCUUCCCUCAGCCAGAGCAGCUAAGAAGUGUCGCCGUAAGAAGCAUCUCAAGGUCCUGGAGAGGCCUCGCCAGUCUCCAGACCUGAACCCAAUAGAAAGUCCCUGUUGCCCCGAAACCUGCAUGUUUGUAUGGAGGAGUGGGCCAAAGUCCCGGCUGCAGUGUGUGCAAACCUGGUCACGAACUACAGGAAACGCAUGAUGUCUGUAAUGCAAACAAAGGUUUCUGUACCAAAUAUUAAGGUCGGCUUUUCUGAUGUAUCAAAUACUCGUCUCAUGCAAUAAACUGCUACUGACAUAUAUUUUUAAAUAUAUAUAUCAUGUGAUUUUCUGGAUUUCUUUUAGAUUCCUUCCCAGUUGAAGAGUAGCUAUGAUGCAAAUGACAGACUCCUACGUGCUUUCUACCUACAUAUACUUCUCUCCUGUGUAUACGCAGCACAGUCGCCAUCUCUGAACCCCUUUUCUCAUUUAGCAGUUCUAGAAACUUCUAUUCUCUCAAACCGUUGCAAUAUUAAUUAAGGACCCAAACAAC